rnacentral:rRNA from 1 species
GACGAACGCUGGCGGCGUGCCCAAUACAUGCAAGUCGAGCGAAGUUUUUCUGGUGCUUGCACUAGAAAAACUUAGCGGCGAACGGGUGAGUAACACGUAAAGAACCUGCCUCAUAGACUGGGACAACUAUUGGAAACGAUAGCUAAUACCGGAUAACAGCAUUAACUGCAUGGUUGAUGUUUAAAAGUUGGUUUUGCUAACACUAUGAGAUGGCUUUGCGGUGCAUUAGCUAGUUGGUGGGGUAAAGGCCUACCAAGGCGACGAUGCAUAGCCGACCUGAGAGGGUGAUCGGCCACACUGGGACUGAGACACGGCCCAGACUCCUACGGGAGGCAGCAGUAGGGAAUCUUCCGCAAUGGGCGAAAGCCUGACGGAGCAACGCCGCGUGAGUGAAGAAGGAUUUCGGUUCGUAAAGCUCUGUUGUUAGGGAAGAAUGAUUGUGUAGUAACUAUACACAGUAGAGACGGUACCUAACCAGAAAGCCACGGCUAACUACGUGCCAGCAGCCGCGGUAAUACGUAGGUGGCAAGCGUUGUCCGGAAUUAUUGGGCGUAAAGCGCGCGCAGGUGGUUUAAUAAGUCUGAUGUGAAAGCCCACGGCUCAACCGUGGAGGGUCAUUGGAAACUGUUAAACUUGAGUGCAGGAGAGAAAAGUGGAAUUCCUAGUGUAGCGGUGAAAUGCGUAGAGAUUAGGAGGAACACCAGUGGCGAAGGCGGCUUUUUGGCCUGUAACUGACACUGAGGCGCGAAAGCGUGGGGAGCAAACAGG